UAACCCAACGGAGGAGCACCCGUGAAGAGUAGACGUCCAUCAGGGAAUCGGGGCGGAUCGAAAGGCUAGGGUGCCGAAGGGGAUGGGAGCCCCAGAUCCUGUCGCCCUGGGCAUACGGAGAAUAUCCGUAUGACUGUCACGGAGGAGUCCGUGGAGAGCCGGUGGGUUU
rnacentral:ncRNA from 1 species